AGCGGCCCUAGUGGUGAUCGUUAUUAUUGGGCCUAAAGCGUCCGUAGCCGGCUCGGUAAAUCUCUGGGUAAAUCGAUAGGCUUAACUUAUCGAAUUCUGGGGAGACUGCCGGGCUUGGGACUGGGAGAGGUCGGAGGUACUCCAGGGGUAGGGGUGAAAUCCUGUAAUCCGUGGGGGACCACCGGUGGCGAAGGCGUCCGACCAGAACGGGUCCGACGGUAAGGGACGAAGCCCUGGGGCGCAAACCG
rnacentral:rRNA from 1 species